rnacentral:rRNA from 1 species
ACGUAGGUGGCGAGCGUUACUCGGAAUUACUAGGCGAAAAGCGUAUGUAGACGGUUGUAAAAAUCAAUGGAGAAAAUUCCUGGAUCAAAUGGGAAGGGACAUAGAUACUGUAUGGCUUGAGUGUUGGAGGGGGAGACGGAAUUCCUGGUGUAGCGGUGAAAUGCGUAGAUAUCAGGAGGAACACCGAUGGCGAAAGCAGUCUCCUGGCCAAAUACUGACGCUGAGGUACGAAAGCUAGGGUAGCAAACAG